CGGAAGCCCCUCCGUUCGGCCGCGCGCUAAGGCUUUGAGGCCCACGCAUGACCGGGUGGUCGCGGGGCAUGCUGGGAGUUGUAGUUCCACGCUGAAUUUGGGUUUCGGGAGUAAAGAGCUCCAAAGUCCAAGGUUUCAUUUCAGUCUACCUUUGGUAGUCACCAGGUCACAGGUUAGCCGUUAUUGGCUGCCAUUAAGGACCGUUGCUUAUCCUGGGGUGAGCGACCUCCAGAAUGGGGAAUAGUUAUCCAGCUGCCGCCAGCCCCCCGUGCUGCAGCAUUGGUUUCUCUCCUCAGGAGCAGGUGACUUAAGCCACCGACUCCAGAGAUGGCAGCCCUGACCCUGGAGGAAACAACACCAAGAACAAAGCUUCAAACCACCUGAGAGACCAGUCCAGCGCCACAGACCUCAGAAGCGACCGCCAUGCACAUCCAAUAACCUAGGGAGACCUUAAACAUCUCACUUCACAAGCAGAGACUAUCACUAAUCAAAACCCUCAAACUAGAGGGAACCCUCUUGUCAAUGUUCCUCAUAAUGUGCGCCAUUAUUACAGCAAACUCACAAGCCCUCUCCUUGCCACACAACCCCCAUGUGCCUCAAAAUUUGACCUGGGUAAUUACAAACUCUGCCACUGGUACAGUGCUUAACUCCACCUCUGAGGUCAUACCCUCGAACAGCUAGCACCCUGACCUUUGAGUGGUUCUUUGCACCAUAUUUGAGGGAGAAUGGGAGCCCAGUGACCAGACCCCCUUUCCAUCCUUUGGCUGCCUGCACCCUGGCCCCCCAUCACGUACCCACAAUCCAACCAUCUAUAUCUGUCUGGUCAUCGUCGUGAUUCAUGACAAAAAACAACUGCAGAGGGCCAGGAGAUUACUAUUGCACCAGCUGGGGAUGUGAAACUACUGGCACAUUUUGGUGGACUGGGUCUAUGAUCCAGGAUCUUAUAACUGUAGAACGGGCCCCAGGAUCUACCUCCCUGGGAUGGGGCAGAACCAGCGCAAGCCCACACUGUAACCCACUUAUCAUUAAGUUUACAGAAAAAGGAAAAACGGCUUCAGGUUGGGACACUGGAAAAACUUAGGAUCUGAGACUCUACGUGUCGGAAAGAGACCCUGGGGCACUGUUUACCAUCCAGCUUCUUACUCGGACACCCUCUGACCUUCCCUCUGGCCCGAUUGGGCCAAAUCAUGUGCACAGUAGGACCCCCUCUUUUCCUCCCAGCUUCCCCAUCCCUCCUCCUCAAUUACCCUAGCUCACACUAGCCCACCCUCCACACCUACCUUCAUGAGCGUACCCCCCCAUUGCUAGGUCUGAAGCUCUCUUGGGACUGCUCUCUGCCACCUAUUCUGUCCUCAAUAUCUCUAAACCCGGGUACACUCAAAAUCCAAGUUACAUAGAACCAGGCAAGCCAGGGCCACAGUGAAACCUUGUCUCAAAAAACAAAAUAAAACUACCAUCACAAAAAAAUAACA